CCAUCCUUGUCGAGGGCGCACCCAUCUACAGGGUCCGUAGGAUUUUGGACAUGCGUCCUCGGGGCCGUGGUCAUCAGUACCUAGUAGAUUGGGAGGGGUACGGUCCUGAGGAGAGGAGUUGGGUUCCCUCUCGGGACGUGCUGGACCGUGCGCUGAUCGAUGAUUUCCUCCGUUGCCGCCAGGUUUCCUCCUCGAGUGCGCCAGGAGGCGCUGGGGGGUACUGUCAUGUAUUGUCAUGUUGUGUCUUGUUUCUGUCCUUUCCCUUCACCCUGUCUCCCUCUGCUGGUCGUUAUUAGGUUACCUUUUCUCCCCCUCUUUCCCCCCAGCUGUUCCUUGUCUCCUCCUAACUACCUCGUCACCCCUUUUCCCACCUGUUCCCUUUUUCCCUCUGAUUAGUCCUCUAUAUCUCUCUCUGUUUUCCAUUCUCUCCUUAUAUGGCUGUGAUUGCGCAACGAAUGAGCCUACACUUUCUGUCGUUCGCCCAAGGUCUUAGCAGCAUUGUGACGUAUUUGUAGGCAUAUCAUUGGAAGAUUGACCAUAAGAGACUACAUUUUCCAAGUGUCCGCCUGGUGUCCUGCGUCGAAUUCGGUGCGCAAUUGCCAGCUGCUUCUACUUUACCAUUUGAUUCAGGGGAGAAAGCAUGUGUCCAAGAACGAUGUAUCAAUGAAGAGAUAUGUGAAAAACACCUUGAUGAUUGAUUCUAAACAACGUUUGCCAUGUUUUCAGUCGAUAUUAUGGAGUUAAUUUGGAAAAAAGUUUGCGUUUUGAGGACUGAAUUCAUGGAUUUUUUUUGGUAGCCAAAUGUGAUGUAUAAAACGGAGCUAUUUCUAAUACACAAGGAAUCUUUUUGGACAAACUGAGCAUCUGCUAUCUAACUGAGAGUAUCCUCAUUGAAAACAUCAGAAGUUCUUCAAAGGUAAAUGAUUUUAUUUGAAGGCUUUUAUGUUUUUGUUAAUGUUGCGUGCUGGAUGCUAACGCUAAUGCUAACGCUAAAUGCUAACGCGAAAUGCUAACUCUAGCUAGCUACUUUUACACAAAUUAUUGUUUUCCUAUGGUUGAGAAGCAUAUUUUGAAAAUCUGAGAUGACAGUGUUGUUAACAAAAGGCUAAGCUUGAUAGAUGGCAUAUUUAUUUCAUUUCAUUUGCGAUUUUCAUAAAUAGUUAACGUUGUGUUAUGCUAAUGAGCUUGCUGAUAGAUUUACACAAUCCUGGAUACAGGGGUUUUUUCAUAGCUAAACGUGACGCAGAAAACGGAGCGAUUUGUCCUAAACAAAUAAUCUUUCAGGAAAAACUGAACAUUUGCUAUCUGAGAGUCUCCUCAUUGAAAACAUCUGAAGUUCUUCAAAGGUAAAUGAUUUUUUUGAAUGCUUUAAUGUUUUUUUGUGUAAAUGUUGCCAGCUGAAUGCUAAUGCUAAAUGCUACGUUAGCCAUCAAUACUGUUACACAAAUGCUUGUUUUGCAAUGGUUGAGAAGCAUAUUUUGAAAAUCUGAGAUGACAGUGUUGUUAACAAAAGGCUAAGCUUGAGAGCUAGCAUAUUUAUUUCAUUUCAUUUGCGAUUUUCAUGAAUAGUUAACGUUGCGUUAUGGUAAUGAGCUUGAGUCUGUAUUCACGAACCCGGAUCCGGGAUGGGGAGAUCAGAAAGGUUAAGCAAUAAUCAGUUAAAUUAGAUGUCGAAGGCCUCGCGGGUGGCGCAGUGGUCAAGGGCACUGCAUUGCAGUGCUAGCUGUGCCACUAGAGACUCUGGGUUCGAGCCCAGGCUCUGUUGCACCUGGCUGCAACUGGGAGGUCCAUGGGGCGAUGCACAAUUGGCCUAGCAUCGUCCGGGUUAGGGAGAGUUUGGCCGGUAAGGAUAUCGCGCACUAGCCACUCCUUUGGUGGGCUGGGGGCGGUGCACACUAACCAGGCCGCCAGGUGCAUGGUGUUUCCUCCGACACAUUGGUGCGACUGGCUUCCGGGUUGGAUGCGCAGUGUGUUAAGAAGCAGUGGUUGGGUUGUG
rnacentral:lncRNA from 13 species